AUUGAACGCUGGCGGCAGGCCUAACACAUGCAAGUCGAGCGGAAACGAGAAGUAGCUUGCUACUUCGGCGUCGAGCGGCGGACGGGUGAGUAAUGCCUAGGAAAUUGCCCUGAUGUGGGGGAUAACCAUUGGAAACGAUGGCUAAUACCGCAUAAUGUCCCGGUUUAUAAUGAACUGGGACCAAAGAGGGGGACCUUAGGGCCUCUCGCGUCAAGAUUAGCCCAGGUGGGAUUAGCUAGUUGGUGAGGUAAAGGCUCACCAAGGCGACGAUCCCUAGCUGGUCUGAGAGGAUGAUCAGCCACACUGGAACUGAGACACGGUCCAG
rnacentral:rRNA from 1 species